rnacentral:rRNA from 1 species
AACAAAAUGACUCUCGGCAACGGAUAUCUCGGCUCUUGCAUCGAUGAAGAACGUAGCGAAAUGCGAUACUUGGUGUGAAUUGCAGAAUCCCGUGAACCAUCGAGUCUUUGAACGCAAGUUGCGCCCGAAGCCAUUAGGUCGAGGGCACGCCUGCCUGGGUGUCACG